UACGUAGGGGGCUAGCGUUGUCCGGAAUCAUUGGGCGUAAAGCGCGUGUAGGCGGUCCGGUAAGUCCGCUGUGAAAGUCGGGGGCUCAACCCUCGAAUGCCGGUGGAUACUGUCGGGCUAGAGUGCGGAAGAGGCGAGUGGAAUUCCUGGUGUAGCGGUGAAAUGCGCAGAUAUCAGGAGGAACACCAAUUGCGAAGGCAGCUCGCUGGGACGUUACUGACGCUGAGACACGAAAGCGUGGGGAGCAAACAGG
rnacentral:rRNA from 1 species